GAUGAACGCUGGCGGCGUGCCUAAUACAUGCAAGUCGAGCGAACGGACGAGAAUCUUGCUUCUCUGAUGUUAGCGGCGGACGGGUGAGUAACACGUGGAUAACCUACCUAUAAGACUGGGAUAACUUCGGGAAACCGUAGCUAAUACCGGAUAAUAUUUUGAACCGCAUGGUUCAAAAGUGAAAGACGGUCUUGCUGUCACUUAUAGAUGGAUCCGCGCUUCAUUAGCUAGUUGGUAAGGUAACGGCUUACCAAGGCAACGAUGCAUAGCCGACCUGAGAGGGUGAUCGGCCACACUGGAACUGAGACACGGUCCAGACUCCUACGGGAGGCAGCAGUAGGGAAUCUUCCGCAAUGGGCGAAAGCCUGACGGAGCAACGCCGCGUGAGUGAUGAAGGUCUUCGGAUCGUAAAACUCUGUUAUUAGGGAAGAACAUAUGUGUAAGUAACUAUGCACAUCUUGACGGUACCUAAUCAGAAAGCCACGGCUAACUACGUG
rnacentral:rRNA from 1 species